UUUUCAUAUAAUAAUUUUUAUCAUUAAAAAAAUUAAAUAAAUAGUUUACAAGCCCGAUUUAAAAGAACCAAGCCCAUUCAAAAAAAAAACAGUGAGAAACAGGGGAUCGGGAAGAAGACUCCCGGUAAGAGUCUUCUUCUCCGAUCAAAUCUCGGAGAUCGGAAUCCUAGGACCUCUCGGAGUCCUAGGGUUCUCUACAAAAGGACCUUUCCCUUCCUUAGGAGCCGGUCAUCGGCCCUCUUCCCCUCUCUUUCUCCCUGUUUUUCCCGAUUGGAGCAGCGGACACUCCUCUUGUUCUCGCUGUGAUUGCUCGCCGGUGGGGUCACCGGAGGCCAAGGUGAGUUCCCCUUCUCUUCCUCUCUUCUUUCCCCUUCCUCCCGUGCCUUUGUGCGCGGCUGCCGGCGACGGGAGUCGCCGAUUCUUGGUCAGAAAAAGAGACCCCUGUUUUGGUCUCUUUUUCCUUGGAUUUUCCGGCGCCGGCGAUCGCAAUCGACCGCCGGCCAUGCAUCUCCAUAACCGGGGGAGUGGCCCCCUCUGCCGC
rnacentral:lncRNA from 1 species